rnacentral:rRNA from 1 species
UACGGAGGGGGCUAGCGUUGUUCGGAAUCACUGGGCGUAAAGCGCACGUAGGCGGAUUGUUAAGCCAGGGGUGAAAUCCUGGAGCUCAACUCCAGAACUGCCUUUGAUACUGGCGAUCUUGAGUCCGGGAGAGGUGAGUGGAACUGCGAGUGUAGAGGUGAAAUUCGUAGAUAUUCGCAAGAACACCAGUGGCGAAGGCGGCUCACUGGCCCGGUACUGACGCUGAGGUGCGAAAGCGUGGGGAGCAAACAGG